rnacentral:rRNA from 1 species
AACGCGAAGAACCUUACCUGGGCUCGAAAUGCUAUGGACCAGCUGAUGAAAGUCGGCCUUCCCGCAAGGGACCGUAGUAUAGGUGCUGCAUGGCUGUCGUCAGCUCGUGUCGUGAGAUGUUGGGUUAAGUCCCGCAACGAGCGCAACCCUUGUCCUGUGUUGCUACCCGCAAGGGGCACUCGCAGGAGACCGCCAGCGAUAAGCUGGAGGAAGGUGGGGAUGACGUCAAGUCCUCAUGGCCUUUAUGUCCAGGGCUACACACGUGCUACAAUGGCCGGUACAAAGCGUUCCUAAGCCGCGAGGUGGAGGCAAUCGCAAAAAACCGGUCUCAGUUCGGAUUGCAGGCUGCAACUCGCCUGCAUGAAGCUGGAAUCGCUAGUAAUGGCAGAUCAGCACGCUGCCGUGAAUACGUUCCCGGGCCUUGUACACACCGUGUCGA